UACGAAGGGGGGCUAGCGUUGCUCGGAAUCACUGGGCGUAAAGCGCACGUAGGCGGGUCUUUAAGUCAGGGGUGAAAUCUCCGAGCUUAACUCGGAAACUGCCAUUGAUACUAUUGGUCUUGAAUUCGGUCGAGGUUGGCGGAAUGUGUCGUGUAGCGGUGAAAUGCUUAGAUAUGACACAGAACACCGAUUGCGAAGGCAGCUAGCUAGACCGACAUUGACGCUGAGGCACGAAAGCGUGGGGAUCAAACAGG
rnacentral:rRNA from 1 species